GUCCUUUCACCCCUUGCCUGCUCUAUUUCCAUCUUUUUAUCCCAAAAAGGAUUCUUGCCUAGCAAAAAGCUCUUUACAAUAUUUUCAUUAGUGUCACUACAGAGAACUCGAACUCAUAUGAAAAUGAGUUCAUCAACUGUUAUAUUGAAUCUUUGCAUAUAGAUUCAUGCACUCUAUAGACACUUUAAUUAGUUCUGCACACACAUCAAUACAAAUAUGUAAUCUAAUAUUGUUAAACUCGUUCUUAUAUGAGUUCGAACUUAUAUUAGAUGCAUUAUUUUCCUUUUGCAGACUUUGAUAGAUCAUCAUUUCUCUGUUUUGUCUCUCUCUCCAAUCUUGUAUUUCCAAGGCCAGCUCUUUCCCCUAACCAAUCUAUAAUAUCCUUGAAAACAAUCUCAAUAUUUUCCAAUGGCUCCCCAUAAAGCAACCCAUGCCACAUUCCUGGGUAUAGCUUGAUGGUCUUGUCUGUGCUUGAAGCUGCAUUGUGCAGUUGUUUGCUAACAGAUUUAUCGGUCACUCUGUCGUCUUCGCCGUGGAGAACCAGAAAUGGCAAUGAAACCUCUUCAAGCUUUUGCUCAACUUGCAUAGUAGUUCUCAAUAGUUCAUAUCCAGUUUUCAAGCGUGGGCGACCUUUGUAGCAAUAUGGGUUUGAUCUAAUCUCUUGUCUUACUUCAGGUACUUUGAAUGCAAGAUCGAUAAUAUCCUUAGAAGGGAUUAUUCUCCAAGUUGGAAUGUAAUUGCUAAGCUUUGAGAGAACAUUGAUUACCACUGGAUGUGGCUUCAAAUCUUCAGCUAUCUUACACAUGGGUGCCACCAACACUGCACCAUCCCAAAACUCAGGCUUUUUCCUAUGCAAAAGCAGAGCCACUGCUCCUCCCAUGGACUCUCCAAGCAAAUAUCUCAUCUUCCCUCUGUUCUCUUCCUUCUCACAUAUGCUUGUAAAAUGACUAGUGCAAUCAUCAAUAAUAUUAUCCAUAUUAUCCACAUAGCCCUGCAAUCCUGCAGAUUUUCCAUGCCCUUCAUAAUCUAUUCCAUAAAUUGCAAAUCCUUCCUUUGCAAGACGAUGUGCAGUGCUGUUCAUAGAGAUGCUGCACUCCAUGGCAUAGCCAUGGCAGAUAAAGAUCAAAGCUAUUGGCUCUUGAUUCACAGGAAUCCAUCUGCAUGUGAAUAGCUUCAAUCCUCUUGAAUUCAAGAUGAACUCCUCAUCAUAUCUGAUGUUUCCUGUAUCUUUUUCCUGCAAAUAUUGAAGAACAACAAGUCCAAAUAAACAAACAAACAAACAAACAAGAAAAUAAUUAGUUCAUUGAAGAAAAUGAUGAUGAGAGAGAGCUACCAUUGAAAAGGGAUAUCUGAGAAACUUAAGGGAAUUGGAUAACAGACGAUUUAUUACAGGAUUCUUUUAUUAUGAGAGAUGUAAAUAGAUGUGCAUGGAAUCACACUGACUCAUCCCAAGAAGCAAGGAGGUUCAGAGACUUGGGAAUCUGUAUGGAGAC
rnacentral:misc_RNA from 1 species